AGAGUUUGAUCCUGGCUCAGGAUGAACGCUGGCGGCGUGCCUAAUACAUGCAAGUCGAGCGAACGGACGAGAAGCUUGCUUCUCUGAUGUUAGCGGCGGACGGGUGAGUAACACGUGGAUAACCUACCUAUAAGACUGGGAUAACUUCGGGAAACCGGAGCUAAUACCGGAUAAUAUUUUGAACCGCAUGGUUCAAAAGUGAAAGACGGUCUUGCUGUCACUUAUAGAUGGAUCCGCGCUGCAUUAGCUAGUUGGUAAGGUAACGGCUUACCAAGGCAACGAUGCAUAGCCGACCUGAGAGGGUGAUCGGCCACACUGGAACUGAGACACGGUCCAGACUCCUACGGGAGGCAGCAGUAGGGAAUCUUCCGCAAUGGGCGAAAGCCUGACGGAGCAACGCCGCGUGAGUGAUGAAGGUCUUCGGAUCGUAAAACUCUGUUAUUAGGGAAGAACAUAUGUGUAAGUAACUGUGCACAUCUUGACGGUACCUAAUCAGAAAGCCACGGCUAACUACGUGCCAGCAGCCGCGGUAAUACGUAGGUGGCAAGCGUUAUCCGGAAUUAUUGGGCGUAAAGCGCGCGUAGGCGGUUUUUUAAGUCUGAUGUGAAAGCCCACGGCUCAACCGUGGAGGGUCAUUGGAAACUGGAAAACUUGAGUGCAGAAGAGGAAAGUGGAAUUCCAUGUGUAGCGGUGAAAUGCGCAGAGAUAUGGAGGAACACCAGUGGCGAAGGCGACUUUCUGGUCUGUAACUGACGCUGAUGUGCGAAAGCGUGGGGAUCAAACAGGAUUAGAUACCCUGGUAGUCCACGCCGUAAACGAUGAGUGCUAAGUGUUAGGGGGUUUCCGCCCCUUAGUGCUGCAGCUAACGCAUUAAGCACUCCGCCUGGGGAGUACGACCGCAAGGUUGAAACUCAAAGGAAUUGACGGGGACCCGCACAAGCGGUGGAGCAUGUGGUUUAAUUCGAAGCAACGCGAAGAACCUUACCAAAUCUUGACAUCCUUUGACAACUCUAGAGAUAGAGCCUUCCCCUUCGGGGGACAAAGUGACAGGUGGUGCAUGGUUGUCGUCAGCUCGUGUCGUGAGAUGUU
rnacentral:rRNA from 1 species